rnacentral:snRNA from 9 species
AUACUUACCUGGAUGGGGUCUAUGGGCGAUCAAUAAAGCUUAUGGCCUAGGUUAACGGCUCACAUUGCACAUGGUGUGUGCGUUAAUUUGUGAUAGAGGGGGCAAGCGUUCGCGCGGCCCCUGC